UGAGCUGGCCGGGCGACCGCGUGGGGCGCGAGCUCCCCGAGGAAGGUCCGGGCUCCACAGGGCAAGGUGGUGGGUAACUCCCACCCGGGGUGACCCGCGGGACAGUGCCACAGAAAGCAGACCGCCGCUCGCGCCUCACGGCGGGAGCGGUAAGGGUGAAACGGUGGUGUAAGAGACCACCAGCGUGCCGGGCGACCGGGACGGCUAGGUAAACCCCACCUGGAGCAAGGUCAAGAAGGAGGACGCCGCGAGGUGUCCUUCGCGCGGACGUUCGAGGGCUGCCCGCCCGAGUUCGCGGGUAGACCGCCAGAGGCUGUCGGUGACGGCAGCCCUAGAUGGAUGGUCGCCGACCGUGGUGCCGCGAGGCCCACGGGGACAGAACCCGGCCUACAGGCCAGCUCAUCCG
rnacentral:RNase_P_RNA from 1 species